GGGCGUGUAGCCCAGCCAGGAUAAGGCGGCAGCCUCCUAAGCUGUAGAUCGGGGGUUCGAAUCCCCCCACGCCCG
rnacentral:tRNA from 1 species